rnacentral:rRNA from 1 species
GACGAACGCUGGCGCCGUGCUUAACACAUGCAAGUCGAACGGAAAGGCCCUGCUUUUGUGGGGUGCUCGAGUGGCGAACGGGUGAGUAACACGUGAGUAACCUGCCCUUGACUUUGGGAUAACUUCAGGAAACUGGGGCUAAUACCGGAUAGGAGCUCCUGCUGCAUGGUGGGGGUUGGAAAGCUUCGGCGGUUGGGGAUGGACUCGCGGCUUAUCAGCUUGUUGGUGGGGUAGUGGCUUACCAAGGCUUUGACGGGUAGCCGGCCUGAGAGGGUGACCGGCCACAUUGGGACUGAGAUACGGCCCAGACUCCUACGGGAGGCAGCAGUGGGGAAUAUUGCACAAUGGGCGGAAGCCUGAUGCAGCAACGCCGCGUGCGGGAUGACGGCCUUCGGGUUGUAAACCGCUUUCGCCUGUGACGAAGCGUGAGUGACGGUAAUGGGUAAAGAAGCACCGGCUAACUACGUG